AUUGAACGCUGGCGGCAGGCUUAACACAUGCAAGUCGAGCGGGGGAAGGUAGCUUGCUACCGGACCUAGCGGCGGACGGGUGAGUAAUGCUUAGGAAUCUGCCUAUUAGUGGGGGACAACAUCUCGAAAGGGAUGCUAAUACCGCAUACGUCCUACGGGAGAAAGCAGGGGAUCUUCGGACCUUGCGCUAAUAGAUGAGCCUAAGUCGGAUUAGCUAGUUGGUGGGGUAAAGGCCUACCAAGGCGACGAUCUGUAGCGGGUCUGAGAGGAUGAUCCGCCACACUGGGACUGGGACACGGCCCAGACUCCUACGGGAGGCAGCAGUGGGGAAUAUUGGACAAUGGGGGGAACCCUGAUCCAGCCAUGCCGCGUGUGUGAAGAAGGCCUUAUGGUUGUAAAGCACUCUAAGCGAGGAGGAGGCUACUUUAGUUAAUACCUAGAGAUAGUGGACGUUACUCGCAGAAUAAGCACCGGCUAACUCUGUGCCAGCAGCCGCCGUAA
rnacentral:rRNA from 1 species